AAGACACUAGUAAAAUUUAGCUAUUACACUGCCUUGUCAAGGCAGAAUUGUGGGUUAAACCCCCGCGUAUCUUG
rnacentral:tRNA from 1 species